CAACCUGCCUUCAGGAUGGGGACNACAGACGGAAACGACUGCUAAUACCGAAUAAGUUCCAAGAGCCGCAUGGCCCAUGGAAGAAAAGGUGGCCUCUACCUGUAAGCUAUCGCCUGAAGAGGGGUUUGCGUCUGAUUAGCUGGUUGGAGGGGUAACGGCCCACCAAGGCGACGAUCAGUAGCCGGUCUGAGAGGAUGAACGGCCACACUGGAACUGAGACACGGUCCAGACUCCUACGGGAGGCAGCAGUGGGGAAUCUUCCGCAAUGGGCGAAAGCCUGACGGAGCAACGCCGCGUGAGUGAUGACGGCCUUCGGGUUGUAAAACUCUGUGAUCCGGGACGAAAAGGCAGAGUGCGAAGAACAAACUGCAUUGACGGUACCGGAAAAGCAAGCCACGGCUAACUACGUGCCAGCAGCCGCGGUAAUACGUAGGUGGCAAGCGUUGUCCGGAAUUAUUGGGCGUAAAGCGCGCGCAGGCGGCUUCCCAAGUCCCUCUUAAAAGUGCGGGGCUUAACCCCGUGAUGGGAAGGAAACUGGGAAGCUGGAGUAUCGGAGAGGAAAGUGGAAUUCCUAGUGUAGCGGUGAAAUGCGUAGAGAUUAGGGAGAACACCGGUGGCGAAGGCGACUUUCUGGACGAAAACUGACGCUGAGGCGCGAAAGCGUGUGGAGCAAACAGGAUUAGAUACCCUGGUAGUCCACGCCGUAAACGAUGGAUACUAGGUG
rnacentral:rRNA from 1 species